AUGUCCACUAAAGUGAGUCACUUGACAACUUGUUUAGUGUUCUCCCUCCUUGCCUUCGUGACUUACACUUAUGCUUCCGGUGUGUUUGAGGUCCGUAACAACUGCCCAUACAUCGUCUCUGUGGCAGCAACCCCUGUAGGGGGUGGCCGACGUCUCGAACGAGGUCAAAGUUGGUGGUUCAGGGCCCCACCGGGUACUAAAAUGGCACGUAUAUGAGGUCAUACUAAUUGCAACUUUGAUGGUGCGGGUAGAGGUUGGUGCCAAACCGGUGAUUGUGUUGGAGUCUUAGAAUGCAAAGGUGGGGAAAACCACCAAUAACUUUAGCUGAAUAUGCGUUGAACCAAUUUAGUAACUUAGAUUUCUGGGAUAUUUCUGUAAUUGAUGGAUUCGACAUGACCAGGAAAAUGUCACGGUAUUCAAUGCAUAACUAAUAUAAAUGGUGAAUGCCCAAGUGCACUUAGGGUACCCGGAGGAUGUAACAACCCAUGUACAACAUUUGGAGGACAACAAUAUUGUUGUACACAAGGACCAUGUGGUCCUACUGAGUUAUCAAGAUGGUUCAAACAAAGAUGUCCAGAUGCCUAUAGUUAUCCUCAAGAUGAUCCAACAAGUACAUUUACAUGCACAAGUUGGACUACAGAUUAUAAGAUUAUGUUUUGUCCUUAUGGAAGUGCUCACAAUGAAACAACAAAUUUCCCAUUGGAGAUGCCUACAAGUACUCAUGAAGUGGCUAAGUAGAUCAUAUUG